rnacentral:ncRNA from 1 species
UACCUGGUUGAUCCUGCCAGUAGCAUAUGCUUGUCUCAAAGCUUAAGCCAUGCAUGUCUAAGUACACACGGCCGAUACAGUGAAACUGCGAAUGGCUCAUUAAAUCAGUUAUGGUUCCUUUGGUCGCUCCUCUCCCGCUCCUUGGAUAACUGUGGUAAUUCUAGAGCUAAUACAUGCCGACGAGCG